UCACAAACGAUGAUACAAACCCUACCACCAAACCCUAUCACAGGCUCAGAGUUGCAGCCACCUUCAAACCUCAGAACGCCACCACUAUCGCCGCUGGCGGUGACAGCCAGAAGUUUCCGUCGUCACCUCUCGAAUGUCUGCUCGGCUCUCUUCUCUUGGAUACGCUUCUCCUCGACGUUGCUAAAAGGUCGAUUCGGAGCUGUUNN
rnacentral:lncRNA from 1 species